rnacentral:misc_RNA from 1 species
AAGUCGUAACAAGGUUUCCGUAGGUGAACCUGCGGAAGGAUCAUUAACACGUAUCCAAACGUUAAACAACCCCGUGAACAUACAACCUGCUCUGGUCGCCCAGUAAAUCAAGCCCCGGAAAGUUUUUGAUUUGGGACCUCUGUGCGCGUGAGAAGCGGUAGGUCAAGUGACACGGCGAACCCCACUUUAUUGCCUAAGCAUCCAUACGGAUGGGCAGGCCCCCCGAACAACUGUUAACAAUGGAUAUCUUGGUUCUC